CACACAUUCACACACACAUACACACACACUGGAUCUUCAUCUGUGGUAUAUUCAGUUGCCAUUGGAAACCUAAGAAAGAAGUGAAUCUACCCUCCAAGUCUUAAGCUGGUGGUUUUUUUUUUCCCUCCCCUUUUCUCCUCUCCUCACAGAAGGCGAAGUCUUUCACAAUGAAUCCAUGGCAGCUUCGAUCGAGCGGUGAGCUGGAGCACCUACAUACAGGCCACUCCUUGAUGUGACUGAAAAGAGGCCUUUUCCAGCACUCUGAAAGGAGAGUGGGGCUGUGGAUUUACCUCCCACACACCUGGGCACCCAGAGUACAUGCACUGCGAGAGUCCUCAUCACCUAUUGGUGCAUCUUGUUGAGAGCAGAGAUCAGGGUUAAUUUAUCCUGGCUUGCUCCUUAAGUGGGACAUCAUCAAGCUGAGGAGUUUCUUCAAAUACUACUUCAAAG
rnacentral:lncRNA from 1 species